CCGUCGUGGCGUAGCGGUACAAGGGUGUGCCUGUAAUGCAUAGUUGUGGGUUCGAUCCCCACAUGAGGAA
rnacentral:tRNA from 1 species